rnacentral:rRNA from 1 species
AGUGAACGCUGGCGGCAGGCCUAACACAUGCAAGUCGAACGGCAGCACAGGAGAGCUUGCUCUCUGGGUGGCGAGUGGCGGACGGGUGAGGAAUACGUCGGAAUCUGCCUAUUUGUGGGGGAUAACGUAGGGAAACUUACGCUAAUACCGCAUACGACCUACGGGUGAAAGCGGAGGACCUUCGGGCUUCGCGCAGAUAGAUGAGCCGACGUCGGAUUAGCUUGNGGCGGGGUAAAGGCCCACCAAGGCGACGAUCCGUAGCUGGUCUGAGAGGAUGAUCAGCCACACUGGAACUGAGACACGGUCCAGACUCCUACGGGAGGCAGCAGUGGGAAUNUUGGACAAUGGGACNCAAGCCUGAUCCAGCCAUGCCGCGUGUGUAGAAGAA